GAUUUUUGUUGUUGCUGUUCUUUCAUAAAGUUACAAAUGUUUUCAGCGAGUCAGAAGAGGACGUGCUGGUCUCAGCGUCCUGACUGCGUUCAGUUUGUCAAUGCCGAGAUCGACUCAAAACCUUCCGCGAUUGACAUAUUGCCCCCCUGGCAGACAGCCGCUCCUCUCUCUUGCAGAAGGUCUACGGGCUGUCAAGAGGAAGGUGACAGACACCAGGCCAACAAGGCAGAUGACCUAAAGCAGUCUGGGCUUUCAUUAUGCCACAAGCUGAUCGAAGAAGAACAGGCAAAAACUUAAUGUUCAAAAUCU